AUUGAACGCUGGCGGCAGGCCUAACACAUGCAAGUCGAACGGUAACAGGAAGAAGCUUGCUUCUUUGCUGACGAGUGGCGGACGGGUGAGUAAUGUCUGGGAAACUGCCUGAUGGAGGGGGAUAACUACUGGAAACGGUAGCUAAUACCGCAUAACGUCGCAAGACCAAAGAGGGGGACCUUCGGGCCUCUUGCAAUCGGAUGUGCCCAGAUGGGAUUAGCUAGUAGGUGGGGUAACGGCUCACCUAGGCGACGAUCCCUAGCUGGUCUGAGAGGAUGACCAGCCACACUGGAACUGAGACACGGUCCAGGCUCCUACGGGAGGCAGCAGUGGGGAAUAUUGCACAAUGGGCGCAAGCCUGAUGCAGCCAUGCCGCGUGUAUGAAGAAGGCCUUCGGGUUGUAAAGUACUUUCAGCGGGGAGGAAGGGAGUAAAGUUAAUACCUUUACUCAUUGACGUUACCCGCAGAAGAAGCACCGGCUAACUCCGUG
rnacentral:rRNA from 1 species